rnacentral:rRNA from 1 species
GGUUGCAGCCAUAUCACCCCGCAACUCACAGCUGGCUGCCCACUGAAGCUCAGCAGGUGUGAGCCUGGUUAGUACCUGGAUGGAGACCUCCUGGGAAAAACUAAGGUUGCUGCUGGAA